AUUGAACGCUGGCGGCAUGCCUUACACAUGCAAGUCGAACGGCAGCACGGGAGCAAUCCUGGUGGCGAGUGGCGAACGGGUGAGUAAAGUAUCGGAACGUGCCCAGUCGUGGGGGAUAACGUAGCGAAAGUUACGCUAAUACCGCAUACGAUCUAUGGAUGAAAGCGGGGGAUCGCAAGGCCUCGCGCGAUUGGAGCGGCCGAUAUCAGAUUAGGUAGUUGGUGGGGUAAAGGCUCACCAAGCCGACGAUCUGUAGCUGGUCUGAGAGGACGACCAGCCACCCUGGGAAUGAGACACGGCCCAGCCUCCUGCGGGAGGCAGCAGUGGGGAAUUUUGGACAAUGGGCGAAAGCCUGAUCCAGCCAUGCCGCGUGCAGGAUGAAGGCCUUCGGGUUGUAAACUGCUUUUGUACGGAACGAAAAGGUUUGGCCUAAUAAGCUGAGCUCAUGACGGUACCGUAAGAAUAAGCACCGGCUAACUACGUGCCAGCAGCCGCUGUAA
rnacentral:rRNA from 1 species